CACACACACACACACACACACACACACACACACACACACACACACACACACACACACACACACACACAGACAUACUGGCAUACACACAGACAUACUCACACACACACACACACAGACAUACUGGCAUACACACAGACAUACUGACACACACACACACACAGACAUACACACACAGACAUACUGACACACACACACACACACACUGACACACACACACAGACAUACUGGCAUACAUUUAGCCACCCUCCAGGUUCUUACCUUUUCCUUGAGGGUGGUUUCCCUGGUCCAGUGGCAGGCUGAGGCAGAUGGGAGUUCUCUUCUUGAACUCCCCUCCUCCCUGCCUUCCUCCUCCCGCGCGGCUAUCUCCGGUGGGAGGAAGUGACGUCACUCCUCCCAGCCGGCUGCAGAACCGGAAGAGGGGCCCGGUCGCGCUGUUUAAGCGCCACAGCGCCCGACCGGGCCCCUGCUGACACAUGCUCCUCAGUGUGCGGGAGCCGCAAAUCGCGGGGCCCACAGAGCAGCUGCUCUGGGCCCCCAGGAGCAACUGGGCCCGGGGCAGCUGCCCCGUUUGCCCCGCGUUAAAGACGGCCCUGA